AACGUAGGUUCCGAGCGUUAUCCGGAUUUACUGGGCGUAAAGCGCGUUCAGGCGGUUUGGCAAGUCGGGCAUGAAAUCUCUCGGCUCAACCGGGAGAGGUUGUCCGAUACUGCUGGACUUGAGGGCAGUAGAGGGUGGUGGAAUUCCGGGUGUAGUGGUGAAAUGCGUAGAUAUCAGGAGGAACACCAAUAGCGAAGGCAGCACACUGGUACGUGACUGACGCUGAGACGCGAAAGCGUGGGGAGCAAACAGG
rnacentral:rRNA from 1 species